rnacentral:rRNA from 1 species
GACGAACGCUGGCGGCGUGCUUAACACAUGCAAGUCGAACGGAAAGGCCCUGCUUUUGUGGCGUGCUCGAGUGGCGAACGGGUGAGUAACACGUGAGUAACCUGCCCUUGUCUUUGGGAUAACUUCUGGAAACUGGGGCGAAUAUCGGAUAGGAUCUCCUGCAGCGUGGUGGUGGUUGGAAAGAUUCGGCGGUUGGGGCUGGACUCGAUGCUUAUCAGCUUGUUGGUGUGGUAGUGGCUUACCAAGGCUUUGACGGGUAGCCGGCCUGAGAGGGUGACCGGCCACAUGGGGACUGAGAUACGGCGCAGAAUCCUACGGGAGGCAGCAGUGGGGAAUAUUGCGGAAUGGGCGGAAGCCUGAUGCGGCGACGCCGCGUGCGGAAUGCCGGCCUUCGGGUUGUAAACCGCUUUCGCCUGUGACGAAGCGUGAGUGACGGUAAUGGGUAAAGAAGCACCGGCUAACUACGUG